AUUUUAUCAAACAGCUAGUGUCCCUGCUAUACGAAGCAAAAAGCCCCUAACGGUGGCCGGCGCUUCCCGGCUUUCUCGUCAGAUCACGGUCGCUUCACGCCGCCGCCGCCGGUGCCUCUGCCGCAACAAAGGAGAUCCUUCAGUAUGCUGAUGAAAGGAGUUGCACCAAUUCCAAGGCCAAUAAGGAAAAGGAUGUCGUAUUUCUUGUAAUUUUGAGCUGGUGCACCGAAAGGGCCAUCAACAAAGAUCUUGGGAAAUCUAAAUAAAGAAAGCCAAGUCACUAAAGUUAGUGCAAUAUCGCCUAUAUACAUAUCCUCAAGCAAUUCCUUAAGAAAGCUUAAGGUUCCUUAGUUCUGUUGUCCAGUCACCUAAUGUGCGGAUAUGUACACUCAAGUAGUCGUCCCCAGGUGCAGAGGUGAUGGAGAAGGGAUGCCUGCAAACAUUGAAGAAAA